GUGAAGUCCCCAGAGGAAUCAGUCGAGAAAAUAACACCAUUUCGACCACAUACUUCGCCACAUUCAACAUACAUCGAAAGAUGGCGAGUGCCUGUGACGUCAUAAGUGUCCCAGCUGUCAUGGAAGGGAUGAUGCAGUCAAGACAUGGUCAAGGGAAUUGGGUUCCUCUUCUAUGCUUGAGUUUACUAUGGAGGUUUGCAGGAGAAUACAAGAGGCCUGGGAAGACAACCAAAAAGUCUGUGACGAAACGGAAGACUUUGGAAAGGCUGAUGUGUCACACUACAACAAGACGUGUGAAUUAGUGUUUACGGAAAAUGUCGUGACG